rnacentral:sRNA from 1 species
AUCCUUCUGAGAAAUUCCUAAGGCUCAAUGCUGUGUGGAAGUUUCUAAGAAAGAAAAUAGUUUCCGAUCUUUGGGAUUCCCCUGAGAUGGUCCAAUCUGCAAAAAGUUCAUCGCCCUUUCCAUCAAGGACACUGAGAACAAGAGUCUUAUCCAGAUUGGAUCCUUGGAAUUGAGAAGCUUCAGCAGGUGGGAAAUGCACCCUCCACAGGCUCACACCCGUGUGGGCUAUUUCAGUUACCUAUUGCACCUAAAAUUAGAAACUUUAAACCACCACAAGUCAUUAUUGCUCAUGACCCUGUGAGUUGCAUGGGGACUUCCUGGCUGGUUUAACCUGGCCUCAUUUGUGUGGUUACCUGCAGCUGGACGGCCAGCUGGGUGGAACAUCCAGGACAGCCUCACGCAUGUGCCUGGCAGUUGGU